UGUUGAGGGGAUUGCCGCAGGCCGAUUGCCGACCGUUACACUCCAGGGAUCAGAGUCUUUCCGGAUGCCCGGACAAACCGGGCAUUCAGUCAGCAGCCGCUGCAACCCCAGGGAG
rnacentral:sRNA from 1 species